GCUAGCGGCAGGCCUAAUACAUGCAAGUCGAACGGUAAAUAUUUAGCAAUAAAUAUGAGAGUGACGUACGGGUGCGUAACACGUAUGCAACCUACCCUUUACAGGCGGAUAGCUCGGGGAAACUCGAAUUAACCCGCCGUAAUAUAAUUGGAUGGCAUCAUCUGGUUAUUAAAUCUACGGAGGUAAAGGAUGGGCAUGCGUCUGAUUAGUUAGUUGGCGGGGUAACGGCCCACCAAGACGAUGAUCAGUAGGGGAACUGAGAGGUUGAUCCCCCACACUGGCACUGAGAUACGGGCCAGACUCCUACGGGAGGCAGCAGUAGGGAAUAUUGGUCAAUGGAUGGAAGUCUGAACCAGCCAUGCCGCGUGCAGGAAGAAGGCCUUCUGGGUUGUAAACUGCUUUUGCCAGGGGAUAAAAUGACCUUGCGAGGUUAAUUGAAGGUACCUGGUGAAUAAGCCACGGCUAACUACGUGCCAGCAGCCGCGGUAAUACGUAGGUGGCAAGCGUUGUCCGGAUUUAUUGGGUUUAAAGGGUGCGUAGGCGGCUUAUUAAGUCAGUGGUGAAAUACUCUAGCUCAACUAGAGGGGUGCCAUUGAUACUGAUGAGCUUGAGUACAGAUGAGGUAGGCGGAAUUGACGGUGUAGCGGUGAAAUGCUUAGAUAUCGUCAAGAACACCUAUAGCGAAGGCAGCUUACUAGGCUGUAACUGACGCUGAGGCACGAAAGUGUGGGGAUCAAACAGGAUAGAUACCCUGGUAGUCCACACUGUAAACGUUGAUUACUCGCCGUGUGCGAUAUACAGUACGCGGCCAAGCGAAAGCGAUAAGUAAUCCACCUGGGGAGAACGCCGGCAACGGUGAAACUCAAAGGAAUUGACGGGGGUCCGCACAGGCGGUGGAGCAUGUGGUUUAAUUCGAUGAUACGCGAGGAACCUUACCUGGACUAGAAUGCCCUUGACCGAUCCAGAGAUGGAUUUUUCCGCAAGGACAAGGAGCAAGGUGCUGCAUGGCCGUCGUCAGCUCGUGCCGUGAGGUGUUGGGUUAAGUCCCGCAACGAGCGCAACCCCUAUUUUUAGUUGCCAACAGGUUAAGCUGGGGACUCUAAAAAGACUGCCCGCGCAAGCGGAGAGGAAGGAGGGGACGACGUCAGGUCAUCAUGGCCCUUACGUCCAGGGCUACACACGUGCUACAAUGGCGUAUACAGAGUGUUGCAAACCAGCGAUGGUAAGCCAAUCACAAAAAGUACGUCUCAGUUCGGAUUGCAGGCUGCAACUCGCCUGCAUGAAGUUGGAAUCGCUAGUAAUCGCGCAUCAGCAAUGGCGCGGUGAAUACGUUCCCGGACCUUGUACACACCGCCCGUCAAGCCAUGAGAGUCGGGAGGACCUGAAGGCAGUUGCUGUAAGGCGCUGUUUAGGGUUAAACCGAUGAUUAGGGCUAAGUCGAAACAAGGUA
rnacentral:rRNA from 1 species